rnacentral:rRNA from 1 species
GAACCGUGCGAACGUUGUUCGGAAUCACUGGGCUUAAAGGGAGCGUAGGCGGGCUAUCAAGUCUGGGGUGAAAUGCCGCGGCUCAACCGUGGAACUGCCUUAGAUACUGACGGCCUCGAGGGAGAUAGGGGCAUGCGGAACUGUAGGUGGAGCGGUGAAAUGCGUUGAUAUCUACAGGAACUCCGGUGGCGAAAGCGGCGUGCUGGAUCUCUUCUGACGCUGAGGCUCGAAAGCUAGGGGAGCAAACGGGAUUAGAUACCCCGGUAGUCCUAGCCCUAAACGAUGGGUACUAGGUAGUAGACUAGAUAUGGGUUUACUGCCGAAGCUAAAGUGCUAAGUACCCCGCCUGGGGAGUAUGGUCGCAAGGCUGAA